UUUCAGAGUGUUCCUGAGGGCCAUUAAUCAGUUUGGAUCUAAACCAGAUGUCUCUCUGAUUUCUUUCAGAGUGUUCCUGAGGGCCAUUAAUCAGUAUGCAGCCGUGUUAAACAAGAAGUUCCUGGAUCAGACCAACUUUGAGCUUCAGCUGUGGAACAACUACUUCCACCUCGCCGUGGCGUAUCUUACCCAGGAGUCCUUGCACUUGAGAACUUCUCCAGCGACAAAAGAUCCAAGAUCUUCCAGAAGUGAGUUACAUUUACCCCCCGUCACGCCUGCCCAGAGGACAGGACAUUACCCCCGUCACACAUACCGCAGGAACAUACCCCCGUCCCACACUCCCCAGAGGACAGGACAUUACCACCGUCACACACCCCCCAGAGGACAUUACCCCCAUCACACACUCCCACAGAGACUGGACAUUACCCGUCACACACCCACCCCAGAGGACAUUACCCCGUCACACACCCCCAGAGGACAGGACAUUACCCCCGUCUGACACUCCCCAGAGGACAUUCUACCCCCGUCACCACUCCCCAGAGGACAGGACAUUACCCCCGCUCACACACUCCCCAGAGGACAGGACAUUACCCCCGUCACACACUCCCCAGAGGACAGGACAUUACCCCCGUCACACACUCCCCAGAGGACAUUACCCCCGGCACACACUCCCCAGAGACAGGAACAGAGGACAGGACAGAGACAACCCCCUGUCUCUCUGUUAUCCAUAUCCUAU
rnacentral:lncRNA from 1 species